GACGAACGCUGGCGGCGUGCUUAACACAUGCAAGUCGAACGGAAAGGCCCUGCUUGCAGGGUACUCGAGUGGCGAACGGGUGAGUAACACGUGGGUGAUCUGCCCUGCACUUCGGGAUAAGCCUGGGAAACUGGGUCUAAUACCGGAUAGGAGCCAUUUUUAGUGUGAUGGUUGGAAAGUUUUUUCGGUGUAGGAUGAGCUCGCGGCCUAUCAGCUUGUUGGUGGGGUAAUGGCCUACCAAGGCGGCGACGGGUAGCCGGCCUGAGAGGGUGGACGGCCACAUUGGGACUGAGAGACGGCACAGACUCCGACGGGAGGCAGCAGUGGGGAAUAUUGCACAAUGGGCGCAAGCCUGAUGCAGCGACGCCGCGUGGGGGAUGACGGCCUUCGGGUUGUAAACUCCUUUCGCUAGGGACGAAGCUUUUUGUGACGGUACCUAGAGAAGAAGCACCGGCUAACUACGUG
rnacentral:rRNA from 1 species